CGAACGGCUCCGUAUAUCUGUUAUCACCUACAGCCCGGGGGGCGCCUGGAUAACCCAGGCAAUCCUCGGGCUAAUACAUGUUUGUGUAUUCAUCUGGGGCAAUCUGCUUGGUUGGGUUCUCCGACCCUAGUUGCUCCGGGCUUGCCCUCACAUCCGACGGCCUUCCGCCCUUUGGGCGGGAGGAUGGCGGGAAGGGCGGCAAGUGACCCACACCGGCCUUAAGCCGGGGUGGGUCAUGGAUACCAGACCUAUCAACCUCAGCGCCGGGGCGAGCCCCACGCUGGUGAUAACGGGUACAGAGGAUCAGGGUUCGGUCCUGGAGAGGUAGCCUUAGAGAUCGCUACUACUUCUAAGGAAGGCAGCAGGCGCGCAACGUUCCCACUGGGUACGCCCUGAGGACGUGAGGGGGCAUACCAAUGCGGCACCCUAAUAAGUGUCGCAAUUGGCAUGGGGGUGGCUUAGAUACACUACCGAGCAUCGAUUGGAGGACAAGUCUG
rnacentral:rRNA from 1 species